rnacentral:rRNA from 1 species
AUACGUAGGGUGCGAACGUUGUCCGGAAUUACUGGGCGUAAAGAGCUCGUAGGUGGUUUGUCGCGUCGUCUGUGAAAUUCCGGGGCUUAACUCCGGGCGUGCAGGCGAUACGGGCAUAACUUGAGUACUGUAGGGGAGACUGGAAUUCCUGGUGUAGCGGUGAAAUGCGCAGAUAUCAGGAGGAACACCGGUGGCGAAGGCGGGUCUCUGGGCAUUAACUGACGCUGAGGAGCGAAAGCAUGGGUAGCGAACAGGAUUAGAUACCCUGGUAGUCCAUGCCGUAAACGGUGGGCGCUAGGUGUAGGGGUCUUCCACGACUUCUGUGCCGUAGCUAACGCAUUAAGCGCCCCGCCUGGGGAGUACGGCCGCAAGGCUAAAACUCAAAGGAAUUGACGGGG